ACCUGACUGACUCAGUAGGUAGAGCAUGUGACUCUUUAUCUCAAGGUUGUGAGUUCAAGCCCCAUGUUGGGUG
rfam:Felis catus isolate Cinnamon breed Abyssinian chromosome C1, whole genome shotgun sequence.